AUUUUGGGGAUUACUUUUGAAGUAUUAUUUUUGUCCCCAAAGCAGGCCCUUCUGAAACUGAUGAUGUCGAUGAAAAACUGCCCCUUUCGAAGUCUUUGCAAGGUAUAAACUUUUCACUUCCAUUCUCCCACAUCCUGUUGGUAUUUGAUGUUGCUUUAUAUUGGACAGACUGUUUUGUUAUUUAUAACUAUGUUAUUACUUUUCCAAAUGGAAAAGGAAAAAUGUUUUGGCCUUUUUUUUAAACAUAUAAAUGAACUUCACAAGCAACAAUUUUUCAAAACCAAUUUUCCCUUUUGUGAAUCUAGUAAUGAAUCUCGAAAUGGGUACAUGACACACUUUCCUAUUUAAGGUAAAGUACACAUUUAUACCUUAUAUCAGAAUAGUCAGAAUAAGGUUGUUGUUGUAUAAAGUCAGUGAUGUAAAUAUUGAUAAGGUCAUAUUGAUACUUAAUUUUUGAAAGGAUUGUAAAAUAUCACUUAUCCCUGGGUUUAUUAAUUGAUUGCCUUUUUGGAAUUGUCGUGUAGUAGUCCCAAGUUGACAAUCAUAGGCUGUAGUGAUUGCUUUUAUUUCUGUCUGGGCUUUGUUAGAUGUCCUCUGUUGUGUGAGUGUCACUGUCUAAGAUUUAACAGAGCAUAGAGGACACGGCCUGGACUACAUAGCCACCACCCUGGCCGGCCUCGCUCUUGACUCAUGCUCUCCUUUGACUCCUGGACUCUGCUCCACUGCCUCUCCUCCUUUUGACUU
rnacentral:lncRNA from 1 species